GAUAGGAGGUCGUGUGAGUGACAGAAAGGAUAAGGUGGCCAUGCUAGGGGCAGGAAGGAGUGAGCUGGAAAUGGAGAAGGAAGAGAAAAGAAGGAGAGAAAGAGCAAGAGCUGUGUGGAGUUACUCAUGGGACUGCUGCAUAGAAAAGGUCUUCACUGAAUGAAAGGGGUGUGGAGCUCUGCAGUUUCUGCUCACAGCUACUGCUCAGCCAUCGUGGGAGUCGCUGCUUCCUCAGAGUUCCCUCCUGAGAAGAGAUGUGGUUUUAAGAAGACGGAGAUGGCUCACCCUACAUUAAAGGACUGAACAGGGAAUUCCAAAUUAUAAUACAGGUCCAGUUUUGACCAGUGCCUC